CGCAGGCACUUUGGUGACUCUAGAUAACCUCGGGCAGAUCGCACGUCCCCGUGAUGGCGACGACGCAUUCUGAUGUCUGCCCUAUCAACUUUCGAUGGUACUUUCUGCACCUACCAUGGUGACCACGGUUAAUGGGGAAUCAGAGUUCGAUUCCGGAGAGGGAGCCUGAGAAACGGCUACCACAUCCAAGGAAGGCAGCAGGUGCGCAAAUUACCUACUCCCGACACAGGGAGGUAGUGACG
rnacentral:rRNA from 1 species